GACGAACGCUGGCGGCGUGCUUAACACAUGCAAGUCGAACGGAAAGGCCCUGCUUUUGUGGGGUGCUCGAGUGGCGAACGGGUGAGUAACACGUGAGUAACCUGCCCUUGACUUUGGGAUAACUUCAGGAAACUGGGGCUAAUACCGGAUAGGAGCUCCUGCUGCAUGGUGGGGGUUGGAAAGUUUCGGCGGUUGGGGAUGGACUCGCGGCUUAUCAGCUUGUUGGUGGGGUAGUGGCUUACCAAGGCUUUGACGGGUAGCCGGCCUGAGAGGGUGACCGGCCACAUGGGGACUGAGAUACGGCGCAGACUGCUACGGGAGGCAGCAGUGGGGAAUAGUGCACAAUGGGCGGAAGCCUGAUGCAGCAACGCCGCGUGCGGGAUGACGGCCUUCGGGUUGUAAACCGCUUUCGCCUGUGACGAAGCGUGAGUGACGGUAAUGGGUAAAGAAGCACCGGCUAACUACGUG
rnacentral:rRNA from 1 species